CUAAACUUUAAUAUAUGCUAUUUCUAAAAGGUACAGAUCUUUAUCUAUGAGUUUAUAUUUUAUAUUUACUUUGUAAACUAAAUAUGUAUUAUAUUUUACUUUAACAUUGUUUUCAGCAGAAUUAUGUAUCUGAUAAUGACGGGAUCGUUACAACGUCAACCAUCUUCAUUAGUGGUAAUCAAGCAACAUCUGUUAUGUAUAUUGAACGCCAUUACUUAAUAACAUCUUAUGUAUAUAUACAACUAAAGAACGUUACACACUUAUGGCGACAUCGGUUUGACUAAACUCUUUGGUACCGUCUAAAAACUGUUAAUAACAUGUUCAAACAUCUUAAUUGAAUUAUUGAGUCGUUACAUGAAUAUGCUUAUCAUACAAAAAGAAGAUGUGGUAUGAUUGCCAAUGAGAAUACUAUCCAAAAUAGACCAAAUGGCACAGAAAUUAACAACUAGAGGUCACCGCACGGCAAAGCUCAUACCGCAUAGUCAGCUAUAAAAGGCCUCGAAACGACAAAUGUAAAAUUAUUCAAACGAGAAAACUAACGGCCUAAUGUAUGUACAAAAUAAUGAACGAAAAACAAAUAUGUAACACAGCAACAAACGACAACCACUAAAUUACAGGUUCAUCACUUGGGACAGGCACAUACAGAAUGUGGCGGGGUUGAACUAGUUUUUUGGCGUCAAACCCUCUCUCUAACCUGGAACAGUGGUGUAACUGUACAACAUAAGAACAAACUAUAAGAAUCAGUUGAAAAAGGCUGAACUCAUCAGAUGGAUAAAAAUAGAAAUACAUCUAAAAAAAAACACAAAGUGGACGUGGAUCAGUACUUGUACAUCCCAACAACAAAAAGACACUUAGUAGAGAUCUAAGAGUAUUCGCAGUUACUGACAGCUAGUUCAAAGUCAAUAACAACUAAUAAAAAAAUCAUGCAUCUAAGAUUAAUGUUUCCGUUAGGUAACAUUUUCUAAGCGGUCUUCAUAAAAGGUAAUGUGUGUAUAUGGAAAGCAGAAUAAACAUGUUGAAAUUGACUAAUAUUUGUUUGUGUUAUUUUUUGUUGAAAAUAAAAUAAAAUGAAACAAUCUUUAUACAACUGCUUCUAUGAAGGAAAUAUAUUUUGGCAUAAGAUGUACAGUCGUAAAAUUAGCAAGGAACUGUCAAGAGAUCUUUUCUUGGACAGUCUGUAGAGCAGUUACCUGUCGCCUAAAAAGCAUCUACCCAAUAAAUUUUCAAGACAAUUUCAACCUAGAACAGUUUUGGACAGGUCUUACUGAGAACUGGUUGGAUAUGUUCUAUUCAACAAUUGAUUCUGACAGUUCUAAAGUAGAACAUAUCGUACAGAUCCUAUCAGUUAUGAUUAUAUAUACCAGUGUUGGUCAGCUCUAUAGUAUACUAUAGAUAUGCAAAAAAAUCAAAAAAAAAAAAGAGAGAGAGAGAGAGAGAGAGAGAGAGAGAGAGAGAGAGAGAGAGGUAAAAGGUUAAAGGGGAAAUGUUUGAUUUUAUAUUCAUGCGUUGUAUCCGUAAAUUCUUAUAUCAAACCAAUUUAUUAUUUUAUCCAGGGACAUCGAAUAACGUAGAUGAUGUAAAAGCAAUUGUAUUGGUAUCAUUGGUCGUUAAAGCAGUAGUUUUAGCUAUUACAGUGUUGACUGCUUUAUUCCUUUUACGAAGAAAAGCAGGGAAGAAGAAAUUAGAGAGAAUUUUCAAAUGGAACCAGUUGACAACCAGCUCUAUCUUUCAUCAGAUGACCCGGAUUUGGCUCAUGUACAUAACAUACGUAAUCAAAGCGUAACAACUUCUCGUGAUAACCAAACUUACCAGAUGCAAUUUCAAAAUGAAAAUAGAGCAAAUGGUCGAAGACCGCAUACUUAUAUAAACAGCGGCGUAAUCUCGUCUGUGCAUAACCGUCAAGUACCCCGUCAG